rnacentral:tRNA from 1 species
GGGUAUAUAGCUCAGUGGUAGAGCAUAUGCUUAGCAUGCACCAGGCCCUGGGUUCACUCCCCAGGACCUCCA